rnacentral:snRNA from 1 species
UGAUGUGAGGGCGAUCUGGCUGUGACAUCUGUCACCCCAUUGAUCGCCACGGUUGAUUCGGCUGAUCUGGCUGGCUAGGUGGGUGUCCCCUUCCUCCCUCACCGCUCCAUGUGCGUCCCUCCCGAAGCUGUGUGCCUUCCCCAAAUAGAGAUGGAUGGUCUUCGGUGGAGGGUAUACGAGUAGCUGCGCUCCCCUGCUAGAACCUCCUAAAUAAGCUCUCAGGUUUCUAUACUUGCAACAUUUCAAAGCUAUUCAGNNNNNNN